CCAACGGCCCUUCUAAGGGCCACCCAUGUCUUCAUGAAAGUUUUGU
rfam:Octopus bimaculoides Scaffold76036_contig_11, whole genome shotgun sequence.